CCUGCACAAAGAAACCGUGGAUGACAUUGUCGUCUACGUCAUGAACAAAUUUCCUGGAGAAUGCGAGGGGAAUAUCAGGAGGUACCUAAGACGAAAGUGCAACAAUGCGGCCUCCUCCCUCAAGAAGAAGCCUGCCUAUUUCUGAAUCGUAUCACUGAGAAAUAAAAAAAAUUGACAAUUGUAA